rnacentral:rRNA from 1 species
UACGUAGGGCGCUAGCGUUGUCCGGAUUUAUUGGGCGUAAAGGGCUCGUAGGCGGCGUGUCGCGUCGGGAGUGAAAGCCCGCUGCUUAACGGCGGGUUGGCUUCCGGUACGGGCAGACUAGAGUGAUGUAGGGGAGACUGGAAUUCCUGGUGUAGCGGUGAAAUGCGCAGAUAUCAGGAGGAACACCGAUGGCGAAGGCAGGUCUCUGGGCAUUAACUGACGCUGAGGAGCGAAAGCAUGGGGAGCGAACAGG